rnacentral:tRNA from 1 species
GGCCCUAUCGUCUAGUGGUCUAGGACGUGGCCCUCUCAAGGCCAAAACCCGGGUUCAAAUCCCGGUAGGGUCACCU